AUGGACAAGUUAGACAUGGAUAAGUUAGACAUGGUCAAGUUAGACAGCAUGGACAAGUUAGACAGCAUGGACAAGUUAGAUAGCAUGGACAAGUUAGACAGCAUGGACAAGUUAGACAGCAUAGACAAGUUAGACAUGGAUAAGUUAGACGUGGUCAAGUUAAACACAGACAAGUUAUACAACAUGGACAAAUUAAACGCAAACAACUUGGAUAACAUCAACAGUACGAACCCAAUUAGGAACGACAGUUAUCAUUAUAUAAAAAUUAAAAAUAAUUGGAAUGCUGUUACAAAAUAUAUUAUUUUAAUUUAUUUAACAUGCUUAUAUAAAUUUAACUUAUUCAAAUUGUACAUAUUUAAUAGAUACAAAAAAUUAUUUUAUUAUAUACACAUAGAGCUUAAACAAAAAGAAACAGAUACAAUUGUUUAUGAAAUAGACACUGUGGAAUAUGGAAGUAAAUUAAAUGAUAUGGUUCAUGGUCUGGUUGUUAAAACUAAACUAGAUGAUAACAACAAUAUUGAUAAUGUCGAUAAUGUCCAUAAUGUUGAUAAUGACAAUAAUGACAACAUUGACAAUAAUGUCAUUUCACCGUGGAGUGUUACUAGAAUUGGUAAUAGAAUAAAUUUUUUAGGUCGUUCAAAGUGGAUUGAUACAAAAUGGAUUAGCAUAGUAAACUUUCAAUGUCUCUUCUGCGAAAAAGGCAACAACAACAACAACAACAACAAUGAUACGUCUAUACCUGCCCAAUAUUAUUUGAUAAGUUACAAUACUGAAGAUUAUUUAUUUAAAAAAAAUGAAAACAUUAAAAAAGAGAAUAGUAAUUUCCUUUUUCUUUAUGAAGAACUGGUUUAUCCACAUUUUAUUCAUUCAGGAAAUAUUUUUGUAUUUAAUACGAAUGUAAAUAUAAAAGAUAAAAAGAAUACUUUUAUUUUGAUUAAUAAUGUAAAUCCAUAUAUAUAUAUAAAAAAAACAAAUAAGAGUCAUAUUACUAUACAUUGGACAUUAUCUAUGCUUUUUAUACCUGCAUGGUUAAUAACUAAUUUAGUUUAUUUUUUUUUAGUAAAAAAUGUAUGGAGACAAACAAUGAAUCCUUUUCACAGAUUAUUACUAUCACCAUCUAUUGUUCGUUUACUUUCUUAUAUCUUUUUAUUAAUGUUUUGUAUAUUAUAUUCUACAAACGGGACCCAUUAUAUAUGGAAGGAAUACUGUAUAUUGGCUUAUAUUAUUUUAAAUACAAUGUUUAAUACAUUGUUUUAUGCCAUUUUACUUUUAGUUAGUAAAGGAUAUAUGAUCACAAGAGAAUAUUUUGAUAAAAAAGAAGGUUUAUAUUUAACCAUAUUAAUUACUUUUAUUUAUAUUUUUAUUUCAUUUAAUCAAUUGAAUCUUUUAAAUAACGCAUAUGUAUUAAUAUUUGUAUUUAUGUUUUUACUAAGUAUUAUUGUAUAUAAUGUUUUGCGUAUUAUCAAAUUUUUACAAUUAAAGUUGGCUAUUAUUCGAAAUGUAACUAAUGGUGGUUCUGUUAAUAAUACGGAUACAAAUAAUACUACCAGUUCCAACAAUAUUAUACAAACAUUUGAAUACCCAAUUCAUAUUAAAAUAAGCAUGUAUAAAAUGUAUUUAUUUAUAAAUAUUCUUUUCUUUAGCUUUUCCAUUCUAUUACAAUUUUUAAAAAAUAUAUUAAACCUUUCACAAGAUCAUAUUAUAUUAAUUGAAUAUACUAGUGAGUUGGUUAUAUGGUGUUGUAUUUUAUACAUUUUUCGAUACAGGGGAGACAUUUUAUAUUUUACUUUAAAAUAUGAAAAUAUAACACUCAAUACGAUUCCAUUAUAUGUUGUUAAACAGAGUGACUUAUGCCAUCACAUCCGUACAAACAUUACUGGAUCAUCUGAUGUUGGUUGUACUAUUCAUUGUAUAAACCGAUGUCAAAGAAAUUGUACAGACACAUGUAAUAACGAAUGUGCAAAUAAUUGUUCCAUAGAAAAUUGUGAAUUUAAAUAUCCUAUUUUUAUUUUAAACCCUUUCCAAAACAGUGACCAGAAUAUUUUUUCAAAUAUGAGCAUCGGAUUGCCUAUUAAUAAUGAUGGUAAAAAAAAAUAUACAUAUAUUUAG
ensembl:lncRNA